UUCAAAUUGUGAUUUGGAUACAUUAAUAUGAUCAAAAAUAUAUUCUACCUAACAAUACACAGCAAAUAUGGGUGUUUCUCAUUUGAAAAAGGCAAAAAAAUGAUUUUAUUCCGCCAUUGGUGCUAUUCAUGCGGGUGCUCGGGUGCUCGAACACCCAUUGCAAUUUAUUAGGUGAGCUGAGCCUUCCUUAAAAAUUGGGAUCACACAUUUUGUUAAUUACUAAUAAUACUCUUUAAAAAUAAAGUUUAUUUGUUUAAUGAA